ensembl:misc_RNA Metazoa_SRP Metazoan signal recognition particle RNA
GCCGGGCGCGGUGGCUCACGCCUGUAAUCCUAGCAUUUUGGGAGGCUGAGGCGGGUGGAUCAUUUGAGGUCAGGAGUUCAAGACCAGCCUGGCCAACAUGGCGAAACCCCGUCUCUACUAAAAAUACAAAAAUUAGCUGGGCAUGGUGGCGUAUGCCUGUAGUCCCAGCUACUCAGGAGGCUGAGGCUGCAGUGAGCUGAGAUUGCACCACUGCAUUCUAGCCUGACCCACAGAGUGAGACUCCAUCUCA